GUAGGUGGCAAGCGUUGUCCGGAAUUAUUGGGCGUAAAGCGCGCGCAGGCGGUUCUUUAAGUCUGAUGUGAAAGCCCACGGCUCAACCGUGGAGGGUCAUUGGAAACUGGAGAACUUGAGUACAGAAGAGGAAAGCGGAAUUCCACGUGUAGCGGUGAAAUGCGUAGAGAUGUGGAGGAACACCAGUGGCGAAGGCGGCUUUCUGGUCUGUAACUGACGCUGAGGCGCGAAAGCGUGGGGGAGCAAACAGGAUUAGGUACCCUGGUAGUCCACGCCGUAAACGAUGAGUGCUAAGUGUUAGGGGGGUUUCCGCCCCCCUUAGUGCUGCAGCUAACGCAUUAAGCACUCCGCCUGGGAGUACGGCCGCAAGGCUG
rnacentral:rRNA from 1 species